GGAAAAGGGGGAGGGGAAUAAAAAAUGGGAUAUAGACAGGUAUCAACAUUUUCUGAAUAUGUCAGCAAGAUUAAUCAUGAGAAAUCCCUCAUCUCCUGACCAAUUUCUCUUGUGCCUCUAUUUUUCCCAUCCUGAGGUAACCCUUCAGUUCGGUCCAUUAUGUUCCUUUUUAUCCUAUGUUGUUUUUCUUGGAGACCAAGGUUCUGCAGAUGGAAUGCUAUACAGUUCUAGGCAUUUGGUCUGGCAUUAGUAGGUAAAAAAUUUAAAGCACUCAGUGCACUUUUGCACACUUAAAGGGACACUCUAAGC